rnacentral:rRNA from 1 species
GACGAACGCUGGCGGCGUGCUUAACACAUGCAAGUCGAACGGAAAGGCCCUGCUUUUGCGGGGUGCUCGAGUGGCGAACGGGUGAGUAACACGUGAGUAACCUGCCCUUGACUUUGGGAUAACUUCAGGAAACAGGGGCUAAUACCGGAUAGGAGCUCCUGCUGCAUGGUGGUGGUUGGAAAGAUUCGGCGGUUGGGGAUGGACUCGCGGCUUAUCAGCUUGUUGGUGGGGUAGUGGCUUACCAAGGCUUUGACGGGUAGCCGGCCUGGGAGGGUGACCGGCCUCAAUGGGACUGAGGUACGGCGCAGACGCCUACGGGAGGCAGCAGUGGGGAAUAUUGCGCAAUGGGCGGAAGCCUGAUGCAGCAACGCCGCGUGCGGGAUGACGUCCUUCGGGUUGUAAACCGAUUUCGCCUGUGCCGAAGCGUGAGUGACGGUAAUGGGUAAAGAAGCACCGGCUAACUACGUG